UACAGAGGGGGCAAGCGUUGUUCGGAAUUACUGGGCGUAAAGGGCGCGUAGGCGGCCUUCUAAGUCGAACGUGAAAUCCCCGGGCUCAACCCGGGAACUGCGUCCGAUACUGGAAGGCUUGAAUCCGGGAGAGGGAUGCGGAAUUCCAGGUGUAGCGGUGAAAUGCUUAGAUAUGACAUAGAACACCAAUUGCGAAGGCAGCUUACUACACAAUGAUUGACACUGAGGCACGAAAGCGUGGGGAUCAAACAGG
rnacentral:rRNA from 1 species